AUCCUCUUCGGCGUUACAUAUACUAAAAUUGGAACGAUACAGAAAAGAUUAGCAUGGCCCCUGCGCAAGGAUGACACGCAAAAUCGUGAAACGUUUCAUAUUUUU
rnacentral:snRNA from 1 species